rnacentral:rRNA from 1 species
ACGAAGGGGGCUAGCGUUGCUCGGAUUUACUGGGCGUAAAGGGCGCGUAGGCGGACGAUCAAGUUGGGGGUGAAAGCCCGGGGCUCAACCUCGGAAUUGCCUUCAAAACUGAUCGUCUUGAGUUUGGGAGAGGUGUGUGGAACUCCGAGUGUAGAGGUGAAAUUCGUAGAUAUUCGGAAGAACACCAGUGGCGAAGGCGACACACUGGCCCAAUACUGACGCUGAGGCGCGAAAGCGUGGGGAGCAAACAG